UCUCCAUCCGAACUGUUUGGCGGUGCCCGGUGCCGCGCAGGUUGGAGCCGGGUCUCCAGGUGGCCGGGACUCUGCGCCUCUGUCCUCCGCGCUGCCCAGCCUCACGCGGGGCCGUGGUCGCCUCGGCCUCUCCGUCCCCCAAGGCCCGGGACCCGCCCUGGUCAGGACUCCCUGCUAACGCCGCUCCUCCUGCAGGGCUCAGAAUCGGCAGCACCUCCUCCUUGGCGUCCUCCCGGUUGCCCCCACAAGACAGAACAGAAGAGGAGAUGCACAGUCCUGAGACGUGAGUCAACGCUGCACCCUGGCCCGCCUUCGCACCUCCGCCAGGGGCUCCCCCGUGGGGGGCAGGGGCUUUUGGGGGGGGCAGUGGCUCCCGGGACCUCCCGAGGCAAGGACACACGGGCGGUGGGGGGCCCGACGCUCUCCGACGGCUCCAGGCAGCCCCUCGCGAAGCUCAGGUCGGCCCUCCCGACGCUGCAGAGCAGGGCCGGCCCCGCGCUGAGCCAGCUAGGGUCCGGGCUGCGCUCCGGGGCGGGCGGGGUGACGCUGUGUGCGCGCCGUCUCCCGCGGACGGCCCUGACCACCUCCCCACACUGCCCAGAGGCCGCUGGGGUCAACCCACCCCCACGCCCUUCUCAGCCUCCCCAAACCCAGCUGCACCCGCCGAGCACAGCCCUGCCUGCCUGCUGCCCCACGGCACGAGGGCAGACGGACCGCGGCGCCGUCCCACUGCCCCGCUUCUGAGAGCACCCUGUCCUCAGGACCCUGCCCCUUGGCCCUUGCCUGACGGCCCCAGUCCUGGGCGCAGCCCGAGACGGAGACCUGGGGACGGUGGUGUUCAGCCAGGGCCGGGUGGGGAGUGGCUGCCGUGGGGUUUGGAGGUGACGGCUGACAGCUGUGGGGGUUCCUCUGGGGUGACAAAAACGCUCCCGAGUUGACUGUAGCAAGGGCUGCACAGCUGUAAGGUGACCAAAAAACACUGACUUCUACACUGGUAGUGGGGAACCUGUUAGAUAUGCGAAUUAUAUGUAAAUCAAGUUAUAAUAACGGGCUCUGAGCCGGGCGUAGUGGCGCACGCCUGUAGUCCCAGCACUCGGGAGGCUGAGGCAGGAGGAUCGCCGGGAGUUCGAGGCCAGCCUGGGCUACAGAGUGAGCUCAAGGCCAGCCUGAACUGCAGAGUGAGACCCCGUCUCAGAAGCCCGGGCGGGACGGCUGUGCCACCCCCGGGGGAGCUGCGUGGGAGGCCGGCACACAGCAGCGCCCGCGGCGGGGGG
rnacentral:lncRNA from 1 species